UACGGAAGGCAGCAGUGGGGAAUAUUGCACAAUGGGCGCAAGCCUGAUGCAGCCAUGCCGCGUGUAUGAAAAAGGCCUUCGGGUUGUAAAGUACUUUCAGUCGUGAGGAAGGUGUUAAGGUUAAUAACCUUAGCAAUUGACGUUAGCGACAGAAGAAGCACCGGCUAACUCCGUGCCAGCAGCCGCGGUAAUACGGAGGGUGCGAGCGUUAAUCGGAAUUACUGGGCGUAAAGGGCACGCAGGCGGUUAAUUAAGUUGGAUGUGAAAUCCCCGGGCUUAACCUGGGAAUGGCACUCAAGACUGGUUAGCUAGAGUCUUGUAGAGGGGGUAGAAUUCCAUGUGUAGCGGUGAAAUGCGUAGAGAUGUGGAGGAAUACCGGUGGCGAAGGCGGCCCCUGGACAAAGACUGACGCUCAUGUGCGAAAGCGUGGGGAGCAAACAGGGAUUAGAUACC
rnacentral:rRNA from 1 species